rnacentral:rRNA from 1 species
GACGAACGCUGGCGGCGUGCUUAACACAUGCAAGUCGAACGGAAAGGCCCUGCUUUUGUGGGGUGCUCGAGUGGCGAACGGGUGAGUAACACGUGAGUAACCUGCCCUUGACUUUGGGAUAACUUCAGGAAACUGGGGCUAAUACCGGAUAGGAGCCCCUGCUGCAUGGUGGGGGUUGGAACGUUUCGGCGGUUGGGGAUGGACUCGCGGCUUAUCAGCUUGCUGGUGGGGUAGUGGCUUACCAAGGCUGUGAAGGAUCGCCGGCCUGGGAGGGUGAACGGCGACAAGGGGACUGAGAUACGGCCCAGACGCCAACGGGAGGCAGCGGUGGGGAAUAUGGCACAAUGGGCCGAAGCCGGAUGCAGCAACGCCCCGUGCGGGAUGACGGCCUUCGGGGUGUAAACCGCUGUCGCCUGUGACGAAGCGUGAGUGACGGUAAUGGGUAAAGAAGCACCGGCUAACUACGUG